rnacentral:rRNA from 1 species
GAUGAACGCUGGCGGCGUGCCUAAUACAUGCAAGUCGAGCGAACAGACGAGGAGCUUGCUCCUCUGACGUUAGCGGCGGACGGGUGAGUAACACGUGGAUAACCUACCUAUAAGACUGGGAUAACUUCGGGAAACCGGAGCUAAUACCGGAUAAUAUAUUGAACCGCAUGGUUCAAUAGUGAAAGACGGUUUUGCUGUCACUUAUAGAUGGAUCCGCGCCGCAUUAGCUAGUUGGUAAGGUAACGGCUUACCAAGGCAACGAUGCGUAGCCGACCUGAGAGGGUGAUCGGCCACACUGGAACUGAGACACGGUCCAGACUCCUACGGGAGGCAGCAGUAGGGAAUCUUCCGCAAUGGGCGAAAGCCUGACGGAGCAACGCCGCGUGAGUGAGGAAGGUCUUCGGAUCGUAAAACUCUGUUAUUAAGGAAGAACAAAUGUGUAAGUAACUAUGCACGUCUUGACGGUACCUAAUCAGAAAGCCACGGCUAACUACGUG